GGUUCCAUAGUGUAGCGGUUAGCACAUCUGCUUUACAUGCAGAAGGUCCUGGGUUUGUGCCCCAGUGGAGGCA
rnacentral:tRNA from 1 species